UGAGUGCUCACUUGCUAUACUAAAAUUGGAACAAUAUAGAGAAGAUUAGGAUGGUCCCUGUACAAGGAUGAAACACAAAUUCGUGAAAUGUUUCAUAUUUAA
ensembl:snRNA U6 U6 spliceosomal RNA